rnacentral:rRNA from 1 species
AUUGAACGCUGGCGGCAUGCUUUACACAUGCAAGUCGAACGGCAGCGCGGGCUUCGGCCUGGCGGCGAGUGGCGAACGGGUGAGUAAUGCAUCGGAACGUGCCCAGUAGUGGGGGAUAGCCCGGCGAAAGCCGGAUUAAUACCGCAUACGACCUGAGGGUGAAAGCGGGGGACCGAAAGGCCUCGCGCUAUUUGAGCGGCCGAUGUCGGAUUAGCUAGUUGGUGGGGUAAAGGCUUACCAAGGCGACGAUCCGUAGCUGGUCUGAGAGGACGACCAGCCACACUGGGACUGAGACACGGCCCAGACUCCUACGGGAGGCAGCAGUGGGGAAUGUUGGACAAUGGGGGCAAGCCUGAUCCAGCCAGGCCGCGUGAGGGAAGAAGGCCUUCGGGUUGUAAACCGCUUUUGUUCGGGAAGAAAUCCUCUGGGCUAAUACCCCGGGGGGAUGACGGUACCGGAAGAAUAAGCACCGGCUAACUACGUG